GACGAACGCUUGCGGCGUGCCUAAGAAAUGCAAGUCGAGCGGGGGUAGCAAUACCCUAGCGGCGAACGGUCGCGUAACACGUAAGCAACCUGCCCCGAAGACCGGGACAACAGCUCGAAAGGGCUGCUAAUACCGGAUGUGGCCAUUGGGGGACAUCCCCUGGUGAUUAAAUCAAGCAAUUGGCUUCGGGAGGGGCUUGCGGCCUAUCAGCUAGUUGGUGGGGUAACGGCCUACCAAGGCGACGACGGGUAGCUGGUCUGAGAGGACGGCCAGCCGGACUGGGACUGAGAUACGGCCCAGACUCCUACGGGGGGCAGCAAUUAGGAAUCUUGCGCAAUGGGCGAAAGCCUGACGCAGCGACGCCGCGUGGUGGAGGAAGUCCUUCGGGAUGUAAACUCCUUUUGCCAGGGAAGAAACAAAUGACGGUACCUGGUGAAUAAGCCCCGGCUAACUACGUGCCAGCCGCCGCGGUAAUAC
rnacentral:rRNA from 1 species